rnacentral:rRNA from 1 species
UACGUAGGGUGCAAGCGUUGUCCGGAAUUAUUGGGCGUAAAGAGCUCGUAGGCGGUCUGUUGCGUCGGCUGUGAAAACCCGAGGCUCAACCUCGGGCCUGCAGCCGAUACGGGCAGACUAGAGUUCGGCAGGGGAGACUGGAAUUCCUGGUGUAGCGGUGAAAUGCGCAGAUAUCAGGAGGAACACCGGUGGCGAAGGCGGGUCUCUGGGCCGAUACUGACGCUGAGGCGCGAAAGCGUGGGGAGCGAUCCGG